rnacentral:rRNA from 1 species
UACGGGGGGGGCAAGCGUUGUUCGGAAUUACUGGGCGUAAAGGGCGCGUAGGCGGUUCGCUAAGUUGAAUGUGAAACUCUGGGCUUAACCCAGAGCCUGCAUUCAAUACUGGCGGGCUAGAGUUCUGGAGGGGAUAGCGGAAUUCCUGGUGUAGCGGUGAAAUGCGUAGGAUAUCAGGAGGAACACCGGUGGCGAAGGCGGCUAUCUGGACAGAGUCUGACGCUGAGGCGCGAAAGCUAGGGGAGCAAACAGG